ensembl:lncRNA
GUAGCACGAGUAUGUAGUUACAGCGAUGUUGUUUUUAAAAUAUCAAAUCAGGUAAUUUUUGAGGAUUAGUGUUCAAUUACCGUUAUUUUAAAAACUUAACUUUCAGGCUAACGUUAAGUUGUAUAAACACGGGUUGCGGUUGCCUUUUUAUGUUACAUAUUGUUCUUUUUUUCACUGAUCUCAUGUUAACUAAUGUCAUAUUGAUGACUUUCAGAUAGUACAGAGACAGGCUGGUGACAAUCUCCACCAUGGUUUGCUGUGCUGCAUGGGGAUGCUCCACUCGGUCAGAGAAAUGUGUGCAGAUGUAUGGCUUCCCUGCUGACAUGGAGAGGAGAAAAAAAUGGUUGGCUCAAGUCAGCAGGAGCAAUCUAAAUAUAAAUAAAAAUUACAACAACAAAAAAAUUUGUGAGCACUCCUGACCUGCAUCAUCACUGAUGCUCCAUCACAGAACAGUCCUGUGGCACCACUAAUCCUCCACCUACCAGCACCCACAGUAUGUUACAGUAUGUUACUUUUAUACACUAACAAGUUUAAGUAAAUAAUACAGUAGUAUUAUAUAAUAUAGACAGGUUAUAUAACAUAGACAGGUAAUAGUCAAUGAAUCACAAUGCCUAAAA